rnacentral:misc_RNA from 1 species
GAAAUGCGAUAAGUAAUGUGAAUUGCAGAAUUCAGUGAAUCAUCGAAUCUUUGAACGCACCUUGCGCUCCUUGGUAUUCCGAGGAGCAUGCCUGUUUGAGUGUCAUUUAAUUCUCAACCCCUCCAGCUUUUGUGGCUGGCUUGGUGGCUUGGAUGUGGGGGAUUGAUUUGCGGGCCUCCUUCAGAGGUCGGCUCCCCUGAAAUGCAUUAGCGGAACCGUUUGCGGGAACUGUCACUGGUGUGAUAAUUAUCUACGCCAAAGACAACUGCUCUCUGGUCAUUCUGCUUCUAAUUGUCCGUCAUUGGACAACGAUAUUUGAAUGCUUGACCUCAAAUCAGGUAGGACUACCCGCUGAACUUAA